AGGGUUUGAUCAUGGCUCAGGAUAAACGCUGGCGGCGUGCCUAAUGCAUGCAAGUCGAACGGGAGCCCUUUCGGGGGUCGACCGUGGCGGACGGGUGAGGAACACGUAGCUAACCUGCCCAGGUAUGGGGGAUAUGCGCUGGAAACGGCGUGCAAUACCGCAUACGUUCGGGUGUCGGGAGACACUUGAGGAAAGCCGCAAGGUGUACCUGGAGGGGGCUGCGUCCGAUUAGCUAGUUGGUGUGGUAAGAGCGCACCAAGGCGAUGAUCGGUAGCUGGUCUGAGAGGACGAUCAGCCACACGGGGACUGAGACACGGCCCCGACUCCUACGGGAGGCAGCAGCAAGGAAUUUUCCACAAUGGGCGCAAGCCUGAUGGAGCAACGCCGCGUGGGGGAUGACGCGUUUCGGCGUGUAAACCCCUUUUCGAGGGGACGAAGGCAAUGACGGUACCCUCGGAAUAAGGACCGGCUAACUACGUGCCAGCAGCCGCGGUAAGACGUAGGGUCCGAGCGUUGUCCGGAAUUACUGGGCGUAAAGCGCGCGCAGGCGGACCAGCGCAUCAUCGGUGAAAGCCCCCCGCUCAACGGGGGAGGGUCCGGUGAGGUGGCUGGUCUGGAGGCAGGGAGAGGCGAGUGGAAUUCCGGGUGUAGUGGUGAAAUGCGUAGAGAUCCGGAGGAACACCAGUGGCGAAGGCGGCUCGCUGGACCUGACCUGACGCUGAGGCGCGAAGGCGUGGGGAGCGGACGGGAUUAGAUACCCCGGUAGUCCACGCAGUAAACGAUGGAUACUAGGUGUGGCGGGAGUUGACCCCUGCCGU
rnacentral:rRNA from 1 species